rnacentral:snoRNA from 1 species
GGYAUCGGGCUGGGCAGAGGGCCCGCUUGCCAKCGUGCGCAGCCCUCAGUCCAUUUGCCCAGAUUC